AGGAAUAUUGGUCAAUGGACGAGAGUCUGAACCAGCCAAGUAGCGUGAAGGAUGACUGCCCUAUGGGUUGUAAACUUCUUUUAUACGGGAAUAAAGUGAGGCACGUGUGCCUUUUUGUAUGUACCGUAUGAAUAAGGAUCGGCUAACUCCGUGCCAGCAGCCGCGGUAAUACGGAGGAUCCGAGCGUUAUCCGGAUUUAUUGGGUUUAAAGGGAGCGUAGGCGGACGCUUAAGUCAGUUGUGAAAGUUUGCGGCUCAACCGUAAAAUUGCAGUUGAUACUGGGUGUCUUGAGUACAGUAGAGGCAGGCGGAAUUCGUGGUGUAGCGGUGAAAUGCUUAGAUAUCACGAAGAACUCCGAUUGCGAAGGCAGCUUGCUGGACUGUAACUGACGCUGAUGCUCGAAAGUGUGGGUAUCAAACAGGAUUAGAUACCCUGGUAGUCCACACAGUAAACGAUGAAUACUCGCUGUUUGCGAUAUACAGUAAGCGGCCAAGCGAAAGCGUUAAGUAUUCCACCUGGGGAGUACGCCGGCAACGGUGAAACUCAAAGGAAUUGACGGGGGCCCGCACAAGCGGAGGAACAUGUGGUUUAAUUCGAUGAUACGCGAGGAACCUUACCCGGGCUUGAAUUGCAACUGAAUGAUGUGGAGACAUGUCAGCCGCAAGGCAGUUGUGAAGGUGCUGCAUGGUUGUCGUCAGCUCGUGCCGUGAGGUGUCGGCUUAAGUGCCAUAACGAGCGCAACCCUUAUCGAUAGUUACUAUCAGGUUAUGCUGGGGACUCUGUCGAGACUGCCGUCGUAAGAUGUGAGGAAGGUGGGGAUGACGUCAAAUCAGCACGGCCCUUACGUCCGGGGCUACACACGUGUUACAAUGGGGGGUACAGAAGGCAGCUACACGGCGACGUGAUGCUAAUCCCGAAAGCCUCUCUCAGUUCGGAUUGGAGUCUGCAACCCGACUCCAUGAAGCUGGAUUCGCUAGUAAUCGCGCAUCAGCCACGGCGCGGUGAAUACGUUCCCG
rnacentral:rRNA from 1 species